GAGAAAGUUACUAAGAGCGUAUGGGGGAUGCCUAGGCUCUCAGAGGCGAUGAAGGACGUGAUAAGCUGCGAUAAGCUGCGGGGAUUAGCACAUAUGAAGUGAUCCGCAGAUUUCCGAAUGGGGCAACCCACUUAAUUGAAGAUUAAGUACCGAAAGGGGCAAACCCGGAGAACUGAAACAUCUAAGUACCCGGAGGAAGAGAAAACAAUAGUGAUUCCGUUAGUAGUGGCGAGCGAACGC
rnacentral:rRNA from 1 species